GGAUCAUUUGCCAUAGGCUAUGUCAAAUCCUUUUCAAAAACUGAUUGAUCACGAAGUAUGAGUUAGCUGUUCUCCAAUGCAAUCAAAGCAUGGAGGAUCGAGUAGAAGUAGUUUUCAUUUUAAAUUCCUCAAUACCCUUUUUUUCUACAGUAUUCUGUAAUAGAAGGUGGAAGGUCUCUUGGGAGGAGUGUGGAAAUCUGGGGAAGGAGAGGGAAGGGUUUAUGUGGAAGUAGUGUUAUCUGCUAUUGGUUAUUUUGUUGUCUCAUUGAUUACUUGGAAAUUAAGUACUUUUCCAAGACUCUACAGCACACUUGUGAAGGGGCCCUUGUGAUAUCUUUUUGAACAGAAGUGAUAGAAAUGCUUUGAAAUAUUCAUGUGGAAAAAAAAAAAAAUGAAGAGUUUAUCUUCAGGAUUCAUCCUCAUGUGAGAUACUUCUCUUUUUUUAAUGCAGGUUAGAAGGUGAUAGAUCAGAGAUUCUGGAUGAGAGCAUUCCACUCACUAAUGACAAGCUAAAGUCAUCUGCUUUCACCUCUUUCACUGCUGUCACCUCCCUCCUCCCACUGUGGCCCCUCCCACCAAAAGCAGCUGUACCUGUGUGGCUUCUGAGGACCUUUCCACCUCACUGCUGAGCUGUUACUGGACCUUUAGACACUAUGGACACUCUCCAGCAUACAAAACUGGACCCUUAGAAAAGAAGAAAAUUCAGCUUUAGACCAUGACCAGUGGUUCUUCUGUGGCUGCAAAUGUCUGUACUCUACCUCUGAAUAUGUGCCCCUUGUUACUUACAUUGCGUUUAUUAGAACAGUUGCACACCGUGUUUCCUUCCUAGAAGAGAAAGUGCCCGAAGCAAAGAAGAGUCAUGGUGCCUUUUUAAUACCACUUUCCAACUGUUUCGAUAUGCAGUUAUCCCAUCUUUAAAAACAAUUGCUGUAGCAUUAUGCUGGUAUACAUAACGCUGGGCAGGCAAUAAUACACAGGUCUGGGACAUACCUUAACUCUGUAAAGAACAUCAUGAAUAUGCAGUCUGGUUAACAGGCAUGGAAAGGACACGACCUCCUCCAGGAGUGGCACUUUAAGAUCUGCCAAAACUCUAUCAAACCAAAGACUUUUUCCCUAUGAACAAUGUAGGUACCAAGUAUCAAAAUCAUUGAUUUCUGUCUCUUUUAUAAAAGGCUGGGUUUGUUCUUAUGGUUCAUACUUUAUAUAUGUAAGUAGAAGCAACUGUUAUACUUCAGAUCUUUGGUUAGCAUCUGUAAAAGGAAGCUGAAACUUUCCAAUCAUGUUGUGGCCGUAUAGAGGCUGGAACAUUUAUUCUAAGAUUUGAUCACAGUAGUUUACACCAUAAGCUUACAGAACCAGCAAAGCAAAUAUAUAAAGCAUCACAUUUUUAUACUUAAAAUGAUCAGAAGCUUAAAGAAUGUGCUAGUAUUGCAUGCUAAAACUGCCAGCCUCACAAAUCAUCAGGAUACACCACAGAGCAUGAAAUCAGGGUCAGAAUUUAACAAUUCAAUAAACCACAUAUGGCCAAACCUUCUAGCACUCCAAAGCAGGAAUAGGGUUUUAAAAGCUGUUGCGUAACACAAGCUGAGUAAUAUGAAUAAACUUUUUGCAAUGUUGUUAUGGACCUUUGGAUGUGCCAUUUUGUAAGAGUCAUUCUGUUUAACCAGAACUUGAAGUA
ensembl:lncRNA